GGCACCUCAAUGUACAGGGAAAAUUCAGGCAGGGCCCUGUAAAACGUACGAGGAAAUUUCAGGCUAAAGCUCAUUCAGGAAGACGAUCUCAGAUAGAAAUGUCUGGAAAGAUCCAGCUCAUGAUGAAUCAGCCGCACCCAGAAUGCCGGACAAGAACCAAACACUAAAAAAUCAUUACAACGUGUUCACUUCGAAGCUCCACGUCGCGUACUGGUUACUGGUGAAUAUGUCGGAUCAUAGCUCUGAGCUGCUGGUUAUGCAAGAUCAUAGAAAUCCAGUCACUGGAGAGCCUUGGUAUUCCUGAACAACGAUAAGAUAUACAGAUAUAUAUAAAUAUAUAUAGCAUAAUUUAAGCUAUGGUGUGACCUAAAAGUUUCCUGACUGAUUUCCAUCGAGUCUACCCAUGAUGAGAACUAAAAUUCAUACCAUGAUCCAUAUAGUGAAGACUCACAAUGUAUGUUUCGGGCUUGCAAAAAUAUCCCGACUGGUGCUCACAGAAUGAGAGCCAUUAUUACUUCAGACGUAGACUGCCAACUCCAGAAAUGAAGACAUUUGGAUUGGAAAAGACCAGCCCAUAUUUGCUUAUGACCUUGUAGAACUAACAGGUUGUGAGACCACAUUUCCUGACGAGCGCCAGGGAGUGGAUUCAAAUUUCAUGCGGCAGCCAUGACAGAGGAAGGACCUCCCAGAUUAAGCAGGUAUGCCCGGUGAAACAGUGCAUGACGAACCGUCUGCUCCAAGAAAUGGAAGAGUAUGAGAUCAGAACAUGUUUCUCAAUUCCAGAAGCAAUUCAAAGAAGCGGGGGUUGAUUUCUGUGAGGAUUCUUGGCCGGCAUCAGGUCCUGGGGAGUCGGGAGAGAUAUUUUGGAGGCCCCGUCAGAAACUGCGAAGAUGAAAGACUGGAGCUGGGGGAAGGAAAUCUACAGCGGGAUCUUCUCAAGAGAAGCUGGCAGAAAUGACGCAUGAUUGAAAGUCAACCCAC
rnacentral:lncRNA from 1 species